rnacentral:rRNA from 1 species
UGGGGAAUAUUGGACAAUGGGCGAAAGCCUGAUCCAGCCAUGCCGCGUGAGUGACGAAGGUCUUCGGAUUGUAAAGCUCUUUUGGCGGGGACGAUAAUGACGGUACCCGCAGAAUAAGCCCCGGCUAACUUCGUGCCAGCAGCCGCGGUAAUACGAAGGGAGCUAGCGUUGUUCGGAAUCACUGGGCGUAAAGCGCACGUAGGUGGGCAGUUAAGUCAGGGGUGAAAGCCCGAGGCUCAACCUCGGAAUUGCCUCUGAUACUGGCUGUCUAGAGUUCGAGAGAGGUGAGUGGAAUUCCUAGUGUAGAGGUGAAAUUCGUAGAUAUUAGGAAGAACACCGGUGGCGAAGGCGGCUCACUGGCUCGAUACUGACACUGAGGUGCGAAAGCGUGGGGAGCAAACAGGAUUAGAUACCCAUGUAGUCCCUGAGCGGGCUGGCAAGGCGCAU